rnacentral:rRNA from 1 species
AUUGAACGCUGGCGGCAGGCCUAACACAUGCAAGUCGAGCGGUAGAGAGAAGCUUGCUUCUCUUGAGAGCGGCGGACGGGUGAGUAAUGCCUAGGAAUCUGCCUGGUAGUGGGGGAUAACGUUCGGAAACGGACGCUAAUACCGCAUACGUCCUACGGGAGAAAGCAGGGGACCUUCGGGCCUUGCGCUAUCAGAUGAGCCUAGGUCGGAUUAGCUAGUUGGUGGGGUAAUGGCUCACCAAGGCGACGAUCCGUAACUAGUCUGAGAGGAUGAUCAGUCACACUGGAACUGAGACACGGUCCAGACUCCUACGGGAGGCAGCAGUGGGGAAUAUUGGACAAUGGGCGAAAGCCUGAUCCAGCCAUGCCGCGUGUGUGAAGAAGGUCUUCGGAUUGUAAAGCACUUUAAGUUGGGAGGAAGGGCAGUAAAUUAAUACUUUGCUGUUUUGACGUUACCGACAGAAUAAGCACCGGCUAACUCUGUGCCAGCAGCCGCGGUAA